rnacentral:rRNA from 1 species
GAACGCUGGCGGCAUGCCUAAUACAUGCAAGUCGAACGAGCUUCCGUUGAUUGAGGUGCUUGCACUGAUUUCAACACCGAAGCGAGUGGCGAACUGGUGAGUAACACGUGGGAAAUCUGCCCAGAAGCAGGGGAUAACACUUGGAAACAGGUGCUAAUACCGCAUAACAACAAGAACCGCAUGGUUCUUGUUUGAAAGGUGGCUUCGGCUAUCACUUCUGGAUGAUCCCGCGGCGUAUUAGUUAGUUGGUGAGGUAAAGGCCCACCAAGACAAUGAUACGUAGCCGACCUGAGAGGGUAAUCGGCCACAUUGGGACUGAGACACGGCCCAAACUCCUACGGGAGGCAGCAGUAGGGAAUCUUCCACAAUGGACGAAAGUCUGAUGGAGCAAUGCCGCGUGAGUGAAGAAGGGUUUCGGCUCGUAAAACUCUGUUGUUAAAGAAGAACAC